AACAGGUUGAUAUUCCUGUACCACCUCUUUAUCGUUUGAGCAAUGGAGGGACGCAGAAGGAUAGAAGAAGCGUGCGAUUGGUUGUGCACGUCCAAGCAGUUAGGCUGAUAAGUAGGCAAAUCCGCUUAUCGUAAAGGCUGAGCUGUGAUGGGGAAGCUCCUUAUGGAGCGAAGUCUUUGAUUCCCCGCUGCCAAGAAAAGCUUCUAGCGAGAUAAAAGGUGCCUGUACCGCAAACCGACACAGGUAGGCGAGGAGAGAAUCCUAAGGUGUGCGAGAGAACUCUGGUUAAGGAACUCGGCAAAAUGACCCCGUAACUUCGGGAGAAGGGGUGCUUUCUUAACGGAAAGCCGCAGUGAAUAGGCCCAAGCGACUGUUUAGCAAGGUGUCCGUGGUAGGAGAGCGUUCUAAGGGCUGCGAAGCUAGACCGUAAGGACUGGUGGAGCGCUUAGAAGUGAGAAUG
rnacentral:ncRNA from 1 species